rnacentral:tRNA from 1 species
GGCUCAGUGGUUCAGAGCACUGGCUGUUCUUCCAGAGGACCUGGGUUCAAGUCCCAG